UAAUAAGUGUUUUAUGGGCACUUUUUAAAUCCAUAUCCCACUUGUGUGGCAAUGUCAGUUCGAUCUUCUUCAAUGGAGAUCGACCAAUACAUCAACCUUUAUCUUUUAACUCGUGUGUCUGAAAAUAUUAUGAAUAAAGCAAUUCAAAAUA
rnacentral:misc_RNA from 1 species